rnacentral:sRNA from 1 species
CUUUUGAUGAGUCCUUUUCCCUGCACAGAGCUUCUGGUGAAGGUGGUGGGAGUUGUUCUUGCAGAGCACAUGGGAUUCCAACGGCCUGGCAGUGGGCCAGGAUCUUGUUGCCAUGGUUACUGACACUGUUUUUGCUGAAAUUUUGCCAGAUCCUGAAGAUCUUCGUGGACAAUCUCUUUGCUAUUGUCCUGCUGAAGCAGGCCACAGCUGUGCGCUGCUUGGACAUGAGUGCCUCCCGUAAGAAGCUGGCCGUGGUAGAUGAAAAUGACACUUGCCUGGUGUAUGACAUCGACACCAAGGAGCUGCUUUUUCAGGAACCAAACGCCAACAGUGUGGCCUGGAACACCCAGUGUGAGGACAUGCUCUGCUUCUCGGGAGGAGGCUACCUCAACAUCAAAGCCAGCACCUUCCCUGUGCACCGGCAGAAGCUGCAGGGCUUUGUGGUCGGCUACAAUGGCUCCAAGAUCUUCUGCCUCCACGUCUUCUCCAUUUCUGCCGUGGAGGUGCCACAGGUAACUGGGGGCGCCUGUCCAUUCUUAGCACUGGCAAGGCUGACAAGACCAGGGAAGCCGGGCCCUUUGCUGGUGCUUUGGGGAGAGAAUAGCAAGGAGAGAAGAAUGGCAGCUGUGAUGUUGUGGGAGGCAGUCUGGGCCUGGAACCUGCAGCC